AAAAAAAAAAAAGUAAAAUAAAUUAAAAUAAAAUUAACAAAAUAAAAAAUAAUAAAAAAAAGACCCCGAGAGCACCACUCUGGCAAUGGAAGGAGAAACUGAGGCCUGGGGGCAGGCACAGCAAGUGGCGUUUCGUACAGAAUCUCCCGCCACAGCUCCGGGCUCCUUCUCUGUGAUGUCUGGUUCUAGUAACGGCACGCCAAAGGGUUGCUUCUUGCCUAUAGAAAAUAUUCCUUGGGACUGAAAAAGCAAAUCAGAGAACAGACCGGAGCACUUCCCAACGGAUGUCCCAGUGCUCCGUGAGGGAGACGGAACCAGGCCUGGGGAUGCCUUCCCGGCAGAGGCCGUGCCCCAAGAUUUCAAGGGACAGUCACGGGGGCACAUUGAGGUCACAAUUUCAAGAUG